GAGUGUACUCCUACGGGAGGCAGCAGUGGGGAAUUUUGGACAAUGGGCGCAAGCCUGAUCCAGCCAUGCCGCGUGUCUGAAGAAGGCCUUCGGGUUGUAAAGGACUUUUGUCAGGGAAGAAAAGAACAGGGUUAAUACCUCUGUUUGAUGACGGUACCUGAAGAAUAAGCACCGGCUAACUACGUGCCAGCAGCCGCGGUAAUACGUAGGGUGCGAGCGUUAAUCGGAAUUACUGGGCGUAAAGCGAGCGCAGACGGUUACUUAAGCAGGAUGUGAAAUCCCCGGGCUCAACCUGGGAACUGGGUUCUGAAAUGGGUGACUAGAGUGGGUCAGAGGGAGGUAGAAUUCCACGUGUAGCAGGGAAAUGCGUAGGAAUGUGGAGGAAUACCGAUGGCGAAGGCAGCCUCCUGGGAUAACACUGACGUUCAUGCUCGAAAGCGUGGGUAGCAAACAGGAUUAGAUACCCCAGUAGUCCGA
rnacentral:rRNA from 1 species